rnacentral:rRNA from 1 species
GAAUUGUUCGCAAUGGGCGCAAGCCUGACGACGCAACGCCGCGUGGAGGAUGAAGGUCUUCGGAUUGUAAACUCCUGUUGCUCGGGACGAAAAGCUCCGACCUAACACGUCGGAGUCUGACGGUACCGAGUGAGGAAGCCCCGGCUAACUCUGUGCCAGCAGCCGCGGUAAUACAGAGGGGGCGAGCGUUGUUCGGAAUUACUGGGCGUAAAGGGCGCGUAGGCGGCCUGCUAAGUCGAACGUGAAAUCCCUGGGCUCAACCCAGGAACUGCGUCCGAUACUGGUUGGCUUGAAUCCGGGAGAGGGAUGUGGAAUUCCAGGUGUAGCGGUGAAAUGCGUAGAUAUCUGGAGGAACACCGGUGGCGAAGGCGACAUCCUGGACCGGUAUUGACGCUGAGGCGCGAAAGCCAGGGGAGCAAACGG